rnacentral:rRNA from 1 species
UACGUAGGGUGCAAGCGUUAAUCGGAAUUACUGGGCGUAAAGCGUGCGCAGGCGGUGAUGUAAGACAGAUGUGAAAUCCCCGGGCUCAACCUGGGAACUGCAUUUGUGACUGCAUCGCUGGAGUGCGGCAGAGGGGAUGGAAUUCCGCGUGUAGCAGUGAAAUGCGUAGAUAUGCGGAGGAACACCGAUGGCGAAGGCAAUCCCCUGGGCCUGCACUGACGCUCAUGCACGAAAGCGUGGGGAGCAA